rnacentral:rRNA from 1 species
GAUGAACGCUAGCGAUAGGCUUAACACAUGCAAGUCGAGGGGUAACGUGUUGGAAGCUUGCUUCCGAUGACGACGACCGGCGGAUGGGUGCGUAACGCGUAUGCAACUUGCCUCACAGUGGAGAAUAACCCGGAGAAAUCCGGACUAAUGUUCCAUACACUCUUAAGUACGCCUGUACAUGAGAGGAAAGAUUUAUCGCUGUGAGAUAGGCAUGCGUCCUAUUAGGUAGUUGGUGAGGUAACGGCUCACCAAGCCGACGAUAGGUAGGGGUGCUGAGAGGCAGAUCCCCCACAUUGGGACUGAGACACGGCCCAAACUCCUACGGGAGGCAGCAGUGAGGAAUAUUGGUCAAUGGAGGAAACUCUGAACCAGCCAAGUCGCGUGAAGGAAGAAUGUCCUAAGGAUUGUAAACUUCUUUAGCGAGCGAGUAAGGACUUCCACGUGAUGGGAGUUUGAAAGUAGCUCGAGAAUAAGUAUCGGCUAACUCCGUGCCAGCAGCCGCGGUAAUACGGAGGAUACGAGCGUUAUCCGGAUUUAUUGGGUUUAAAGGGUGCGCAGGUGGUCUUGCAAGUCAGUGGUGAAAAGCUGAGGCUCAACCCCUUUCUUGCCGUUGAAACUGUAAGACUUGAGAGUACAUGAUGUGGGCGGAAUGCGUAGUGUAGCGGUGAAAUGCAUAGAUAUUACGCAGAACUCCGAUUGCGAAGGCAGCUCACAAAGGUAUAUCUGACACUGAGGCACGAAAGCGUGGGGAGCGAACAGGAUUAGAUACCCUGGUAGUCCACGCCGUAAACGAUGAUUACUCGAAGUAUGCGAUAUGACAGUAUGCUUCCAAGCGAAAGUGAUAAGUAAUCCACCUGGGGAGUACGCCGGCAACGGUGAAACUCAAAGGAAUUGACGGGGGCCCGCACAAGCGGAGGAACAUGUGGUUUAAUUCGAUGAUACGCGAGGAACCUUACCCGGGAUUGAAAUGUAUGUGCGCCUCUUGUGAAAGCGAGAGGGUUCUCUUCGGAGACACAUAUGUAGGUGCUGCAUGGUUGUCGUCAGCUCGUGCCGUGAGGUGUCGGCUUAAGUGCCAUAACGAGCGCAACCCUUACCGUCAGUUACUAACAGGUUAAGCUGAGGGCUCUGGCGAGACUGCCGUCGUAAGUCGAGAGGAAGGUGGGGAUGACGUCAAAUCCGCACGGCCCUUACAUCCGGGGCGACACACGUGUUAUCAAUGGUAGGGAUAGAGAGUAGCCACUCGGUGACGAGGAGCGGAUCUUGAAGCCAUAUCUCAGUUCGGAUCGGAGUGGGCAACUAGUCUCCGUGAAGCAGGAUGCGCUAGUAAUCGUCGCAUCAUGCCAAGGCGCGGUGAAUAAGUAAUCCGGGCGCU